GGUUGUGGCUCAAUGGUAGAGCACUUGCCUAGCAUGCGUGAGGCACUGGGUUUGUUCCCCAGCGCCA
rnacentral:tRNA from 1 species